UACGUAGGGCGCAAGCGUUGUCCGGAAUUAUUGGGCGUAAAGAGCUCGUAGGCGGUUUGUUACGUCUGCUGUGAAAGUUCAGGGCUCAACCCUGAAAUGCCGGUGGAAACUGUCGAGCUAGAGUACGGAAGAGGUGAGUGGAAUUCCUGGUGUAGCGGUGAAAUGCGCAGAUAUCAGGAGGAACACCGGUGGCGAAGGCGGGUCUCUGGGCCGAUACUGACACUGAGGAGCGAAAGCGUGGGGAGCGAACAGG
rnacentral:rRNA from 1 species